rnacentral:lncRNA from 1 species
GUACAAAUAAAUACAUACAACUGUACAUAUAAAUACAUAUGAUUGUACAUAUAAAUACAUACGAAUUAUUAUUUAAACAAUAUUAUGUAUAUUUUGAUUUGAUAUUAUAAAAAACAAAAAAAAAAAAAAAAAUGAGAAAAGUAUGGACCCCUAUAAGAAGACCAGAAGAUCAAAAAGUUAUAAAAAAUAACUACAAUGAAGAAGAAAAAGCAAAUUUUGAAAAAUCCCUACCAAUGGGUUUCAUAGAAAACAAUAGAAACAAAAGGAUACCUUAUUUUGAAAUAAAAGAAUCUACAAGUACGUUCACCUGAGUUCAACAACAUAUUUGUAUAUGAGAAUAUAAACACAAUUACCUUAACAUUAUGUCUAAUUCCGACAAUUCAUAACAUUAGUAAAUAUAUGCAUUUUAACAUGCAUCACCAUCAUUUUAUACCAUAUCUGUAUCCAUCAACUAUUUCAUACUCAUAAUAUCAAACAUAAUUUUAUUUUGCAUGUAAAUAUUUAUAGUGGUAGAACAAAAAGAAAGGAAAGAAGCACAAAAAAUCUUAGCUUUAGAGUUAAGAGAUAAGUGCAGAGCCGAGAUUGACGAAUAUGUUGAGUGUACCGUAGGGCGACUGUGGACAUUUUUAAGAUGCAAAGAUUUUAUGAUAAAAAUGAGAAAAUGCUUAAAGCAAUAUGAAAACCUUGAAUAUGUAAAAUUUAGGGAGAAUCAAAUUAUUGAAGAAAGAAAGAAAAAUGGAACGAGUCUGUAUAGAUCGGAUGAAAGGGCUAGAUAUAACCGAUUUAUGUACACGGAUAAAGAAAAAGGGUGGAUCCCGGAAAAGCGCCAUUAAAAGAAAAUUUUAAUUAUGUUUAUUUAUCCAUAUGCUUGUUUGUUUGUUUUAUUUUAUUGGUUUUUGUUUUUUUGGAGAUAGAUAGGAGGUCCAAGACUUAAUCUGGUUUAGUUAAGUUCAUACACAAUGUUUAUAGUUUAUAAAUGACAAAAAUGUUUUGUAAACAUUUUGCAGAAAUGAAAAAAAUAAAAACAAAUAAAAUAAUAAAAAC